UCAAGAUGUAAGUUGAUGAAAAAUGAUUUUUAGAAAUUCAACAAAAAUUGACACCAAUUUGUCGUAACACGUUCGAAAUAGAGAUUUAACUGAUAUGAUACCGGGGGUGGCUCUUUGAGCAUCUUUUUCAAACUAGCACUUUAUUACUCCGAAAAUUCUAAAAUUAUUAUUUUUUUUCCAACCUUUUCGGCUUUUCAAUUAAUCUCCAUGUGGUAGCUUCACACACUUACCGGACGACCGGCGUGGUAGCUCUU
rnacentral:lncRNA from 1 species